GACGAACGCUGGCGGCGUGCUUAACACAUGCAAGUCGAACGAAGAGCGACGGAAGCUUGCUUCUAUCAAUCUUAGUGGCGAACGGGUGAGUAACGCGUAAUCAACCUGCCCUUCAGAGGGGGACAACAGUUGGAAACGACUGCUAAUACCGCAUACGAUCUAAUCUCGGCAUCGAGGAUGGAUGAAAGGUGGCCUCUACAUGUAAGCUAUCACUGAAGGAGGGGAUUGCGUCUGAUUAGCUAGUUGGAGGGGUAACGGCCCACCAAGGCGAUGAUCAGUAGCCGGUCUGAGAGGAUGAACGGCCACAUUGGGACUGAGACACGGCCCAGACUCCUACGGGAGGCAGCAGUGGGGAAUCUUCCGCAAUGGACGAAAGUCUGACGGAGCAACGCCGCGUGAGUGAUGACGGCCUUCGGGUUGUAAAGCUCUGUUAAUCGGGACGAAAGGCCUUCUUGCGAAUAGUGAGAAGGAUUGACGGUACCGGAAUAGAAAGCCACGGCUA
rnacentral:rRNA from 1 species